rnacentral:rRNA from 1 species
ACAUGCCUACAACAUAGCGUUAAUGCAUCAUAUCACAUUAGAACUUCGCAGUUAAGUGUGCUCAAGCUAGAGUAGUACUGGAAUGAGUGACCGCCCGGAAAGUCCUAGUGUUUUACAUGCC